rnacentral:rRNA from 1 species
AGUGAACGCUGGCGGUAGGCCUAACACAUGCAAGUCGAACGGCAGCACAGUAAGAGCUUGCUCUUACGGGUGGCGAGUGGCGGACGGGUGAGGAAUACAUCGGAAUCUACUUUUUCGUGGGGGAUAACGUAGGGAAACUUACGCUAAUACCGCAUACGACCUACGGGCGAAAGCAGGGGAUCUUCGGACCUUGCGCGAUUGAAUGAGCCGAUGUCGGAUUAGCUAGUUGGCGGGGUAAAGGCCCACCAAGGCGACGAUCCGUAGCUGGUCUGAGAGGAUGAUCAGCCACACUGGAACUGAGACACGGUCCAGACUCCUACGGGAGGCAGCAGUGGGGAAUAUUGGACAAUGGGCGCAAGCCUGAUCCAGCCAUACCGCGUGGGUGAAGAGGGCCUUCGGGUUGUAAAGCCCUUUUGUUGGGAAAGAAAAGCAGCAGGUUAAUACCCCGCUGUUCUGACGGUACCCAAAGAAUAAGCACCGGCUAACUUCGUG